rnacentral:rRNA from 1 species
UACGGGGUGCAGCAGGCGCGAAAACUUUACAAUGCGGGAAACCGUGAUAAGGGAAUCUCGAGUGCCAGCAUAUAAUGUUGGCUGUCCAGAUGCCUAAAAAGCAUCUGUUAGCAAGGGCCGGGCAAGACCGGUGCCAGCCGCCGCGGUAACACCGGCGGCCCGAGUGGUAACCGCUAUUAUUGGGUCUAAAGGGUCUGUAGCCGGCCAGGUAAGUCCCUUGGGAAAUCUGGCAGCUCAACUGUCAGGCUGCUAGGGGAUACUGUUUGGCUUGGGACCGGGAGAGGUGAGAGGUACCUUGGGGGUAGGGGUGAAAUCUUGUGAUCCUCGGGGGACCACCAGUGGCGAAGGCGUCUCACCAGAACGGGUCCGACGGUAAGGGACGAAAGCUAGGGGCACGAACCGGAUUAGAUACCCGGGUAGUCCUAGCCGUAAACGAUGCUCGCUAGGUGUCAGUCACGGUGCGACCGUGAUUGGUGCCGUAGGGAAGCCGUGAAGCGAGCCACCUGGGAAGUAUGGCCGCAAGGCUGAAACUUAAAGGAAUUGGCGGGGGAGCACUACAACGGGUGGAGCCUGCGGUUUAAUUGGAUUCAACGCCGGAAAUCUCACCGGGGGCGACAGCGAUAUGAAGGUCAGGCUGAAGACCUUACCCGAUUAGCUGAGAGGUGGUGCAUGGCCGUCGUCAGUUCGUACUGUGAAGCAUCCUGUUAAGUCAGGCAACGAGCGAGACCCA